UGAUCCUGGCUCAAGAUAAACGCUGGCGGCGCACAUAAGACAUGCAAGUCGAACGGACUUAAUUCAUUCUUUUAGAUUGGAAGCGGUUAGUGGCGGACUGGUGAGUAACGCGUGAGCAACCUGCCUAUUAGAGGGGAAUAACAGUGAGAAGUCAUUGCUAAUACCGCAUAUGCUUACACUAUUGCAUGAUAGAGUAAGGAAAGGAGCAAUCCGCUAAUAGAUGGGCUCGCGUCUGAUUAGCUAGUUGGCGGGGUAACGGCCCACCAAGGCUUCUAUGGGUAGCCGGGUUGAGAGACCGACCGGCCAGAUUGGGACUGAGACACGGCCCAGACUCCUACGGGAGGCAGCAGUCGGGAAUAUUGCGCAAUGGAGGAAACUCUGACGCAGUGACGCCGCGUGCAGGAAGAAGGUUUUCGGAUUGUAAACUGCUUUAGACAGGGAAGAAACAAGACAGUACCUGUAGAAUAAGCUCCGGCUAACUACGUGCCAGCAGCCGCGGUAAUACGUAGGGAGCAAGCGUUAUCCGGAUUUAUUGGGUGGUAAGGGUGCGUANACGGGAAGGCAAGUUAGUUGUGAUAUCCCUCGGCUUANCUGANGAAC
rnacentral:rRNA from 1 species